rnacentral:tRNA from 1 species
GCCUGGGUGGCUCAGUUAGUUGAGCCUCCGACUUCGGCUCAGGUCAUGAUCUCACAGUCUGUGGGUUCGAGCCCCACGUCAGGCU